rnacentral:tRNA from 1 species
GGGGUCGUAGGUCGCGAGACCCGGGUCGUCCUCGCCGACCCGGAUCUGGCCCAGGUCCUUGGCGGCGAUCGUGUUGUCAGUGAUCGCG